GACAUCGAGUGAUACUCAUCUUGGGUGUCUGUCCUCCCGUCUAAAAAACGGGAGUUAGCAAGGGCCGGGCAAGACCGGUGCCAGCCGCCGCGGUAAUACCGGCGGCUCGAGUGGUGGCCGAUAUUAUUGAGUCUAAAGGGUCCGUAGCCGGCUUUGCAAGUCUUUUGGGAAAUCCAGCGGCUUAACCGUUGGUCGUCCGGGAGAUACUACAUUGCUUGGGACUGGGAGAGGUAGGAGGUACUCAGGGGGUAGGAGUGAAAUCCUGUAAUCCUUUGGGGACCACCGGUGGCGAAGGCGUCCUACCAGAACAGGUCCGACGGUGAGGGACGAAAGCUAGGGGCACGAACCGGAUUAGAUACCCGGGUAGUCCUAGCCGUAAACGAUGCUCGCUAGGUGUCACAACAAUCGUGAAUUGUUGUGGUGCCGUAGGGAAGCCGUGAAGCGAGCCACUUGGGAAGUACGACCGCAAGGUUGAAACUUAA
rnacentral:rRNA from 1 species